CAUGCUUACUAAAUGUCAAGCAGAUUUCUAAGCAUGUUUAUACAUAUUAAAUUGCUUCAUAUUUACAACUCCACAAGGUAAACAGCAGUAUUACGGAUGAGAAAACCAAGGCAUUCAGAAAUUAAGUAACUUAAGGAAGUUCUCAAAAUUAGUAACUGGCACACUUAGCGUUUAGACCCAGAUAAUCUGGCUCCAGAGUAUAUACUCACCAGUUAGAGAAAGAAGAAACAUGUCACACACACAUACGCAAGUCCCUAGCCCAAACAGCAAAGUGGACAUUCAAGAUUUUCCCCAAGUGGGCCCCAACUGACUUCCCCUGAUUCAUCACUCACUACUUCUCUAGGUUCGGAGAAAAAGUUCCUUUUGAAAGGAGGAUUCCCACUUUGCUUUGAAUAAGAGGGAGGAAAGAGCGUUUCCGUGCCAGGCCCAACUAAGUCUACAACAGGAUAGUUAAAGAGUUUAUUCAGAAGGCUUGAACGGACCAGGUGUGCAGGUAAGCUCAACACAAAAGGAAGGAAAAUACCCCAAGGAUGGUGAGAGCCAGGCCACGGGUGUCCAUGUGCGCCGGCCUCCCCCAGCAGCGGGUUCGUUCACGGAUUCCUGCUCCUUGUCCGGCCUCGGUCCCUUGGGUACAGUACCUGGAAUCGGGCUGCGUCUGCCGAGAAGCGUCUCACGUCGAAUUUGGCCCCCGCGCAAAGCCGCCGAAAGAGAUCGUGGGCAUCCAUCUUUACCCAGAAAGCUCCGCGGUUCUACGGCGUCUGCGCAGACUACUUCCUGUGCCCCACGCAGCGUCGGAAGAGGGCGCGAGUGUCAGUGGUUCCUGGAGGCGGAGCCUGGCUGGAUGAGAGACUAGGCCCUUUAAUUAUAUACUCCGUCAUUAUUUAUCCUUUUUUUUUUUUUGGAACAAGGUCUCGCUCUGUCACCCAGGCUGCAGCGCAGUGGCGCAAUCGCAGCCUCGAACUCCCGGGCUCAAGUGAUCCUCCCACCUCGAUCUCCCAAACUGCUGGGACCAUAGGCACGGAGUUUCGCUCUUGUUACCCAGGCUGGAGUGCAAUGGCGCGAUGUCGGCUCACCGCAACCUCCACCUUCUGGGUUCAGGCAAUUCUCCUGCCUCAGCCUCCUGAGUAGCUGGGAUUACAGGCACGCACCACCAUGCCCAGCUAAUUUUUUGUAUUUUUAGUAGAGACUGGGUUUCACCAUGUUGACCAGGAUGGUCUCGAUUUCUUGACCUCGUGAUCCCCCGCCUCGGCUAGGUAAACCCAAAGUGCUGGGAUUACAGGAAUGAGCCACCGCGCCUGGCCCGCUUACAUUUUAGUAGGGACAACAGAUACUGUUAACAAAUAAGCACAAUUUCUGUAAAGUAAUAAGUGCUAUGAAACAAAAAGGUGUAAUUGAUAGAGGAAAUGAUGGGGGAGCUGAAUUAGCGAAAUUCACUCUGUUGAAGUGUUAACUUGAGCUAAGAGGAAGCAACCUUUCCAAGAUCUGGAAACAGCAUUCCAGAUACGGGAAAUGUGACUGAAGAAGGGAAAGCAUUUGGAACUUGAGAGAAUAGAAAGAAUGCCAGUGUGACUGGAGCCAAGUUGCAGUGCGAUCGAGUAGGACACAUAAGGUUGGAAGGACAAACAGAAGCCAGAUCUCAGAAUCUUGUAACAAGGUCACGGUAAGGAAUUUGGACUUCCACCUUGGGAAACUAUUUGAAAAUUUUUAUGAAGAGAGGAACAUGAUUUAGUUUAUCACAUUUAAUUUUUUAUAUUUGUUGCAUUUGUACAAAAUUAUUUACUGCUUCUCCCUCUUCUGGAAUGUAAGUCCCUGAGCACAGGGAUAUACUUUGCUUUGCUGUUGUAUCCCCAGUUCCUGUUCACUUUCAAUAAAUGUUUGGUGACUGAGUGAGUGGAUGUUUCAUAAAGGAUAACACUGGCUAUUAGAAAAAUGGACCAUAGAAAAGCUAAGAGUGGAAACAGAUUAGUCAAAGUAGAAUGAUGAGCAUAGCUUGUCUAGCUUGGCAUCUGUGCUGAGAGAGAUAAAUGGAUAGAUUUGGGAUGUAUUUUGGAGGUAGAGCUAAAUAAACAUUCCUGACGGAUUUUAUGCAGAGUGAGAGAAAGGGAAGAAUCAAAGAUCACUCCUAGUUUUUUGGCUGAGGAGAUGGUGUGCCAUUUACUGAGCUAAGAAAGCCUAAGAAAGAAGGGCUUUUGGUACAAGUGAGUCAUGGAGAGUGGAAUCAAUUGUUAUGUUUUAGGCAGGUUAAGAUAUCUAGUUGACUUUAAUUGGAGACAUCCAAAUAGGUAGUUGGUUCUGAAUCUGUAGCUCAGGAACAAAAAUUAAGGCUAGAGAAAUUAAUUUGGAAAUCAUCAACAUAUUAAUGGUAAAAGCAGUCACACCAUGUAAGCAUUUAACUAUAAAAAUUCAGUAUGUAUUUGACCAAAGAGAAUGAGAAAUACUGGAAAUUGUAUGGGUGAGUUCCUUACAAUCAAGGAAAGCAAGUGUGAGGUUAGCAUGAGAUGGGGGAUGUGAAUCUGCUGUUUCUCAGAUGGGUUCAGUCCCUUACUCCCCAUUAUAGUCGGGGCUGGCGGCCUUGCUGUCCCAAGUGUGGGACCGCAAUUCCUAUUAAAAAUAAGAAUUCCCCAAAUACUUCGUCUGUUGCUCAAUAAAAAUAAUUUAUCUUCGGCCGGGUGCAGUGGCUCAUAUGUGUAAUCCCAGCACUUGGGGAGACCAAGGUGGACAGAAUACUUCAGCUCAGAAGUUUGAAGCCAGCCUGGGCAACAUGGCAGAGCUCCAUCUCUACCAAAAAUUAAAACCUUAGCCAGGCAUUGUGACACAUGCCUCUAGUCCCAGCCACUUGGGAGGCUUAAGCAGGAAGACUGCUUGAGCUCAGGAGGUUGAGGCUGCAGUGACUUGUAAUAGUGCCACUGAGUUACUGCCUGAAUGACAGAGUGAGACCCUAUCUCAAAAGUAAAUAAAUAAAUAAAAUUAAUCUUCUCAACAUAUGAGGAAAAACUUAAUUGUUGGGGCUUAUUAGUGUGCUGUUCGUCAGUUUGGCACAUAAAUAUGGCCACAGACAUAUAUAAAAUUAACAUGUAUAAAAUGACAACUACCAUGCUUUAUGGAUGACUUAGAGAAUUAAAAAAAAAUUCAACUUUAUGAGAUUUUUUUUUCUUUAUGAUCUGAUGUAGAAUCUAAUCCCUUUGUAAGUGGUAACAAACCCAUCUCCAAAAGCAUGAGCAUGAAUGUGAUCACUUAGAAAAAAUGUGUGAAUAGAGAAGAGAAGGGGACCCAGGACAGACCACAAUUCCUAUUAAAAAUAAGAAUUCCCCAAAUACUUCGUCUGUUGCUCAAUAAAAAUAAUUUAUCUUCGGCCGGGUGCAGUGGCUCAUAUGUGUAAUCCCAGCACUUGGGGAGACCAAGGUGGACAGAAUACUUCAGCUCAGAAGUUUGAAGCCAGCCUGGGCAACAUGGCAGAGCUCCAUCUCUACCAAAAAUUAAAACCUUAGCCAGGCAUUGUGACACAUGCCUCUAGUCCCAGCCACUUGGGAGGCUUAAGCAAGUGCUUUAAUACUUGGAGAUCAGGUGGAGGAGGAGACACCUGUAAAACAAGAGUCUGAGUAGAAGCAAGUGAAGUAGCAAGCAACCAGUGAGGUAGGAAGACCAGGAAUGUGGUGUCAUGAAAACCAGAAGGAAGUUUCAAGAAGGUAGUGAUCAGCUAUUUCAAAGGCUGUUGAGAGGCUGAAGACAGAAAAGAUCACUGCAUUUGGCAAUGUGGAGGUCCCUCGGGCCCCUGAUAAUGUCAAUUUCAGGGACAUUGGUGAAGAGAGAUGACUGGUGAAGGUGGUGAAAUGGAGAUGGAUGAAACCAACUCUUCCAAGAUUUAGCUGAGCAGGGUAGCAAAGAAGUUGAGUGGUAGCUAUAGCCAGAUGUGGAUUCAAAGGAGGGUUUUGCUUUUGGUUUUUGAUGUUUUUAAAUACGAGUGCUAGGAGAUGUUUGUAAACUGUAUCGGAUGACCCAGUGGAAAGGUAUAAAUUGUUGAUGCAACAGAGAAGGGAGAUUAUGGAAUGGGGGUGGAAUGGAAUUUUAUCAGGGUAUGUUGGAGGGCUGGGGAGAGAAGUGACAGGAAAUAAUAUUCUCUAACAGUGGGAAAAUGAACUUACUGAAGAAAAGCAAUAAUAAUUCUGGGCAAUGAAUGCCCAUUUGAGGUUCAGGGCAAUUAAUUUAAAAGGAGACAAAUUAGCAUGAUUCAGCUACUUAAAUAAGGGUGUGAAGUACGUAGUGCUGGAUUUGGCCAGGGUUAGAGUUUUCCCAGGUUGGCAUCAUGGAAGGUUAUGACAGAAUUCUGCCUUCCCAACUCCAACAACAAAAAAGUGACUUGGAUUGAUAGUUCAAUAGAAGUUUAGCUGCCUAAAACUCAAGAAGGAAGAGGAAGCCACUAGGAAUAAUACUCUAUGUUACGCUAACAACCCAACUUGCUGCUUUCCUUUCAGAAGAAAGAGGAAUUAUAUUGAAUGUUGAAUACUUACUAUAUUCUUUACCUUCGUGAGCAUGGAUUUGGAGUUAAAUAGGGCUGAGUUUAAAUUCUCCCAGCUGUGAUUUGUGAUUUGCUCACAUUAAUCUUUCUGGGACUAAUUUCUUUAUUUGUAAAAUGAGGAUCAUGAAAGCUACUUUGGAAUUGUUCUGAAGUUAAGUUAGGCUCAUAGGCAGUGGUAUAUAGCGGAAGGAGUGUGGGUUUGGGGCACCAGAAAGGCUUAUGUUUGAGUCCAAUUGUGUCAUUUAGUAAUUUGAUAAUCUUGAAUGAGUUAUUUCACUGGUCUGUGGCUCAGUCUCCUUGUUGGUAAAAUUACAAAAAAUUUUAGGGAUUAUAGGAUUAUAAUAUCUACCUUGAGGUUAGGAGUAGCAUAAUUUUUAAUCACACAGGGCUCAAAAUGGUUGAGA